rnacentral:ribozyme from 1 species
UGUCCAGUAACUCCUAGCCCUACCUCCCCGCGGUGCCACCUGGGGCACGAGUAACCAUAGGAAAGAAGGGUAACCAACCCCGGUGGAACCUUUGUCGUAUGCUGACAGGGAAGG